rnacentral:rRNA from 1 species
GAUGAACGCUGGCGGCGUGCCUAAUACAUGCAAGUCGAGCGAGCGGACGAGAAGCUUGCUUUUCUGAUGUUAGCGGCGGACGGGUGAGUAACACGUGGAUAACCUACCUAUAAGACUGGGAUAACUUCGGGAAACCGGAGCUAAUACCGGAUAAUAUUUUGAACCGCAUGGUUCAAAAGUGAAAGACGGUCUUGCUGUCACUUAUAGAUGGAUCCGCGCUGCAUUAGCUAGUUGGUAAGGUAACGGCUUACCAAGGCAACGAUGCAUAGCCGACCUGAGAGGGUGAUCGGCCACACUGGAACUGAGACACGGUCCAGACUCCUACGGGAGGCAGCAGUAGGGAAUCUGCCGCAAUGGGCGAAAGCCUGACGGAGCAACGCCGCGUGAGUGAUGAAGGUCUUCGGAUCGUAAAACUCUGUUAUUAGGGAAGAACAUAUGUGUAAGUAACUGUGCACAUCUUGACGGUACCUAAUCAGAAAGCCACGGCUAACUACGUG